CUCGGGGAUAGCCUUUCGAAAGAAAGAUUAAUACCCGAUGGCAUAGUUCUUCCGCAUGGUGGAACUAUUAAAGAAUUUCGGUCAUCGAUGGGGAUGCGUUCCAUUAGGUUGUUGGCGGGGUAACGGCCCACCAAGCCUUCGAUGGAUAGGGGUUCUGAGAGGAAGGUCCCCCACAUUGGAACUGAGACACGGUCCAAACUCCUACGGGAGGCAGCAGUGAGGAAUAUUGGUCAAUGGACGAGAGUCUGAACCAGCCAAGUAGCGUGAAGGAUGACUGCCCUAUGGGUUGUAAACUUCUUUUAUACGGGAAUAAAGUGAGGCACGUGUGCCUUUUUGUAUGUACCGUAUGAAUAAGGAUCGGCUAACUCCGUGCCAGCAGCCGCGGUAAUACGGAGGAUCCGAGCGUUAUCCGGAUUUAUUGGGUUUAAAGGGAGCGUAGGCGGACGCUUAAGUCAGUUGUGAAAGUUUGCGGCUCAACCGUAAAAUUGCAGUUGAUACUGGGUGUCUUGAGUACAGUAGAGGCAGGCGGAAUUCGUGGUGUAGCGGUGAAAUGCUUAGAUAUCACGAAGAACUCCGAUUGCGAAGGCAGCUUGCUGGACUGUAACUGACGCUGAUGCUCGAAAGUGUGGGUCUCAAACAGGAUUAGAUACCCUGGUAGUCCACACAGAAAACGAUGAAUACUCGCUGUUUGCGAUAUACAGUAAGCGGCCAAGCGAAAGCGUUAAGUAUUCCACCUGGGGAGUACGCCGGCAACGGUGAAACUCAAAGGAAUUGACGGGGGCCCGCACAAGCGGAGGAACAUGUGGUUUAAUUCGAUGAUACGCGAGGAACCUUACCCGGGCUUGAAUUGCAACUGAAUGAUGUGGAGACAUGUCAGCCGCAAGGCAGUUGUGAAGGUGCUGCAUGGUUGUCGUCAGCUCGUGCCGUGAGGUGUCGGCUUAAGUGCCAUAACGAGCGCAACCCUUAUCGAUAGUUACCAUCAGGUUAUGCUGGGGACUCUGUCGAGACUGCCGUCGUAAGAUGUGAGGAAGGUGGGGAUGACGUCAAAUCAGCACGGCCCUUACGUCCGGGGCUACACACGUGUUACAAUGGGGGGUACAGAAGGCAGCUACACGGCGACGUGAUGCUAAUCCCUAAAGCCUCUCUCAGUUCGGAUUGGAGUCUGCAACCCGACUCCAUGAAGCUGGGUU
rnacentral:rRNA from 1 species